UAUAUAUAUAUAUAUAUAUAAAAUUUUAUUUAUAAAUAUAUAUUUAUUUAUUAUAUAUAGUAUUCUAUUUUUAUAUAAAAAUAUUAUUAUAUAACAUUUUAUUUAUAAUGAUAAUAUAGUUUGCUAUUCUUUUUACUUAAUUAGCUUAAUUUUGUAGUUUUUUAUUCUUAUAUUCUUAAGAAAUAUGAGUAUUUAUACUAAUAGAAUAAAUCUUGAGAAAAAAUAAUUUUAAUUUAAUAGCCGAAUUUUUGAUCCCGAAUUUUUAAUUGAAGAACGUAUAAUAUCCGUAUAAAUCACGUAUCCGAAUAAUUACUGAAUCCGUUUUUUAGCCGUAUUUUUCAACGAAUUUAAAAAUUAGAAGACGAAUUUUAUCCGAAUUAUAUCCGUACCGAAUUUUUGCCGAAUCCGAAUUAACUAACUAUGCAUAUGACACAAGUGAUGGUAAACAAUGCAAAGAAAAGAAUGAUUGAGAUAUUAUGACAUUUCAAUAUUAGAGUUAAGGGUCAUUUGAGCAUGGUCAUCCUUAAAGUUAAGGAAUGGAUUG
rnacentral:lncRNA from 1 species